CUUACUCAGAAGGCUGACUAGACACAGCCAGGUGGAAGAGCUCCCACUGCGGGACCAAGAUGACUGGAAUGCCCCUAACAGAUCUUCAGAGGGAAGAAACCAAGAGUGGACAGAGAGAAGACACAGAAGCUGGGCUGAAGGUAGUGAAAGCUGGGAAUGUGGCACAGGACUACUGCACACCAGGUUUUGUUCCUGGCCCACAAUGGCUCUGGGGGAUCAGGUUGAAGGAAAAUUACCCUGGAUGGAAGAUCAGAGGUAUAGAAAGAAAUGGAGAGCAAAGAAAGUGACAGAGUCUCGCUCUAGGCUGGAGUCCUGUGGCCCAAUCUCGACUUACUGCAACCUCCACCUCCUGGGCUCAAGUGAUUCUCCUACCUCAGCCUCAGGUAGCUGAGACUUACAGGGGCGUGCCACCACACCUGGCUAAUUUUUGUGUUUUUAGUAGAGGCGGGCUUUCACCAUAUUGACUAGGCUGGUCUUGAACUGCUGACCUUAAGUGAUCCACCCACCUUGGCUUCCCUGGGAUUACAGACGUGAGCCAUCACACCCAGCCAAUGUAGCCAAUGUAGUAAAAUAUUAUUAUUUUCUUUCUUUUUACUUUUCUUUUUCUUUUUUUUUUUUU
rnacentral:lncRNA from 1 species